rnacentral:tRNA from 1 species
UAUCGCGUCCCGCUUAAGGCGGGAAGGCCGCAGGUUCGAAUCCUGCCACCCCGA